rnacentral:lncRNA from 1 species
GUUUGGCAAAAUAACCUCAGUCAAGAGGAAAAUCUACUUGUGUUUAAACAAGUUCAACAAUUUUUAGUAGAUUCAAAGCCAUUUGGAAUAUAUAGUAUUUCAUGGUUAGGAUCGUAAUUGGGUGAGACAGUCUUGACAAAGUCCUGGACACACACCAACCCGGUACAUAUCAUAUAGGAAAGAUCAGACAAAAAAAAUCAACUUUUUAUUUGCAGUUAUUUGCCUUUUUUUACAGGGAGACUGAUUAAUAUAUGAAGGGAAAUACUGAUUCGAAUCCCUUAGUAAUGUAUUUCUGUAAUUAUAUGCAUAUGACAUGUAUAUAUGUACAUGUUUUUUUUUAUAUGAUAUGUUUUAAAGAAAAAAAAACCCAGGUAUUUCAGGGGGAAAGGUUGGUAACCGGGAAAAAAAUACAUAACAGUUAGAUGCAGAGAGUUCAGGGAAUAUAAUGGAAUAGCAUUUUCUAAUAGCAUUAAACGUGUUUGUAAACCGUCGAAGAUCAGACUUGGGGCUUCAGUGACUAAAAUUUAAAAAAAAUCACUGUGACUAGGACUGGUCUAUCAUUAUGUACUUUAUUUCUAAGGAUCAUGCAAAGGUUGGCACGUCUACUAUGUGAAUGCUAGAUUUAUAUCCACGGCGAAUAUUCGUAACACUUGCUUUCAGAUUUUAGCGUCACGGAACGCUAAAUACUUUUAUUUUUUUUUCGAUAUCACACAGUAGAUUGCAGAUUUGUAGAGUGUAUAACUCCAAAAUUACGAGAAAUAAUAUACAACCAAGUGUCGCACGGAACUUUUGAACAUUUAGUUUAUUAUAUAUAAAAUUCACA